rnacentral:miRNA from 1 species
AGCAAUUAAUGGCUCGGUGGC